rnacentral:rRNA from 1 species
UACGUAGGGUGCAAGCGUUGUCCGGAAUUAUUGGGCGUAAAGAGCUCGUAGGCGGUUUGUCGCGUCUGCUGUGAAACUCGGGGCUUAACUCCGGGCCUGCAGUGGGUACGGGGCAGACUAGAGUGCGGUAGGGGAGACUGGAAUUCCUGGUGUAGCGGUGAAAUGCGCAGAUAGUCAGGAGGAACACCGGUGGCGAAGGCGGGUCUCUGGGCAACAACUGACGUGAGGAGCGGAAAGCGUGGGGAGCGAACAGG